AUACGGAGGGUGCAAGCGUUAAUCGGAAUUACUGUGCGUAAAGCGUACGUAGGCGGUUAUUUAAGUCAGAUGUGAAAGCCCCGGGCUUAACUUGGGAACUGCAUUUGAAACUGGGUAACUAGAGUUUAGUAGAGGGGAGUGGAAUUUCAGGUGUAGCGGUGAAAUGCGUAGAGAUCUGAAGGAACACCAGUGGCGAAGGCGACUCCCUGGACUAAAACUGACGCUGAGGUACGAAAGCGUGGGUAGCAAACAGAAUUAGAUACCCUAGUAGUCC
rnacentral:rRNA from 1 species